AGACCCGAAACCCGGUGAUCUAGCCAUGGGCAGGUUGAAGGUUGGGUAACACUAACUGGAGGACCGAACCGACUAAUGUUGAAAAAUUAGCGGAUGACCUGUGGCUGGGGGUGAAAGGCCAAUCAAACCGGGAGAUAGCUGGUUCUCCCCGAAAGCUAUUUAGGUAGCGCCUCGUGAACUCAUCUCCGGGGGUAGAGCACUGUUUCGGCUAGGGGGCCAUCCCGGCUUACCAACCCGAUGCAAACUGCGAAUACCGGAGAAUGUUAUCACGGGAGACACACGGCGGGUGCUAACGUCCGUCGUGAAGAGGGAAACAACCCAGACCGCCAGCUAAGGUCCCAAAGUCAUGGUUAAGUGGGAAACGAUGUGGGAAGGCCCAGACAGCCAGGAUGUUGGCUUAGAAGCAGCCAUCAUUUAAAGAAAGCGUAAUAGCUCACUGGUCGAGUCGGCCUGCGCGGAAGAUGUAACGGGGCUAAACCAUGCACCGAAGCUGCGGCAGCGACACUUUAGUGUUGUUGGGUAGGGGAGCGUUCUGUAAGCCGUUGAAGGUGUCCUGUGAGG
rnacentral:rRNA from 1 species